rnacentral:rRNA from 1 species
AUUGAACGCUGGCGGCAUGCCUUACACAUGCAAGUCGAACGGUAACAGGUCUUCGGAUGCUGACGAGUGGCGAACGGGUGAGUAAUACAUCGGAACGUGCCUAGUAGUGGGGGAUAACUACUCGAAAGAGUGGCUAAUACCGCAUGAGAUCUAUGGAUGAAAGCAGGGGAUCGCAAGACCUUGUGCUACUAGAGCGGCCGAUGGCAGAUGAGGUAGUUGGUGGGAUAAAAGCUUACCAAGCCGACGAUCUGUAGCUGGUCUGAGAGGACGAUCAGCCACACUAGGACUGGGACACGGCCCAGACUCCUACGGGAGGCAGCAGUGGGGAAUUUUGGACAAUGGGCGCAAGCCUGAUCCAGCAAUGCCGCGUGCAGGAUGAAGGCCUUCGGGUUGUAAACUGCUUUUGUACGGAACGAAAAGCCCCGGGUUAAUACCCUGGGGUCAUGACGGUACCGUAAGAAUAAGCACCGGCUAACUACGUGCCAGCCGCCGCGGUAA